rnacentral:RNase_P_RNA from 2 species
GCAGUGCUCAGGCACUGUCGCUGGCAUGAUUUAACGUGCGAGAGGAAAGUCCGGGCAGCAUAGGACGCUCCACUUCUGAAAAUGGAAGCUAUUGGCAACAGUAGGUUCAGACAGAAGAAAAUAACCGCCAUGCCAAGCGUUUGACCGGAUAAUCCUGUUAUUCGCUUCAUGGUAAGGGUGAGAAGGUGGUGUAAGAGACCACCGGCCGGCGGGUGAUCGUCGGGCCGUGUCUGCUGGAGGCUGCAAGUUCAUGUAUAUCGCAGAUAGAAGGUUGUCCGCCUGAACGAUUUCUUUAAUCGCUGCGAAGGGUAGAAUGCUUAAGCCGCAGGGCGACUUGCGGAUUAGAUAAAUGACAGGGCUCCGUUUCUUUUGACGGAUACAAAACCCGGCUUAUCAGAGCACUGCUUUC